UGAAAACUCCCCCCCAAAAAAAACUCAAAAAAAAAAUCAGUCAGAAUUUUUUUAAAACUUAUUUUUAAACUUAUUUUAACAGUGGAAUUCCUGGUGAAAAAAAAUCUACAAAAAAAUCUCCACAAGCAAAUUGCGCUAAAAAUACACAGGAGUAAAUAUUAGUGUAUAGUGUAUAUAUAUGAUAUGUAUAUUUUGCAAUAAAUGUAAAAUAUAUUGUCAGUAUAAUCAAUAGUUUUAUACUUUGCCAUAGUUUAUUUUGACUGUCAUUCACAGUGCUUCAUGGGAUUGUAGUUCUUUCUCUCAUUAAGGGCAUUAAAUACAGUCUUACAUCUUUGUCUUUUUGUCUGAUUUUUAAAUACCAAAUUUUGUAAUGCUUUAAUUUUCCUUAUAGCUGAACGGUUUAGUUCCUGGCUUUUUGUGAACUAAGUUGUAGAGAAAAAUACUCUAUUACUAUUAAUGAAGGAUCUGCUUCUUGAAUGCAAGCCCUUUUAAUUCAUUCAGACCAGUGUUUCAACCCUGUAUUUUGUGACUUUUUUUGACACGAGGGUGACAGAAUAAGAUUAAUAAUAACUGAUAAUACGAAUCAUUUCUCUGUGUCCCGCAGGUUCUUUUUUUCAAAAUGACACCAACAGGAGGAAUGGGGGAUCCCAUUAGAGCUGACAGCUGUGUUCCUGAACCUGGUGGCGCGGAGAGGAACGACCACGAAAGAUCGACAUUCCAUCUGUCUGAUGCAGGAUAGAGAACGGCCCUCUGAGGAAAUUGUAUCCUCAUGUAUAUUAUUUUUUAUUUCCUAAAUCAUGUAUAUGCUUAUUUUUUAUGAUUAUGGUGCGCGGUGCAGAUGAAUUAUGACGCUGGGGCUCUUCCCCCAUCUAUGUGAUUAAUAACAUUUUAGAAAAAAACCUGGGACUCUAAGCCUUGAUGAUAUGCUCUUCGGAGGGGGCGGCAGUAAAGACACACAGCACCUCAAGACAGACCUGACAGACUGGAGCUUCACUAAAGACCCACAUGUCUGUGUUUGCAAACUCCACAGGGGCCCCCAGGGGUCCGGCGGCGCCGGCGGCAGCAGCACGUCUUCCACUUGUCCACUUCUACUUUACACGGCUGGACUCUUUCAUACCUCUGUGAAUUCCUGUGAACAAACCCACCGAGAAAUGUUAACAGUGUUCUCUAUUGACAUGCAAUGUGACAAACACUAGCGACCGAUACGUGUUUAUAAAGGCCGAGAACAAUGACAGGGUUCCCACAUGGUGUCAAAACAGUUUUCACUCAAAAAUUCAAAAAAUUAUUCAUUUCACACACCAAAAAAAAUUGGUGUAGAAACAAUUUUCACUCAAUAAUUGCUAGUCAAUCGUAAAAGUAAUUACAAAUAAAGGCAAUUAACACAUUGCAUUUAUAGUGACAUUUUUAAAGUACAUUCUUCUGAUACUCAUAUAAUCUUUGUUUUAUUUGUACCUUUUGGUCAAAUAUCAGCGAAUCCUAAAAUUGCGAUUUAUAGCUCUGGAAAAGACAAAAGUCAUGGAAAGUGAAUGUGAUUUCUGUUUUUGAGUUACGCACUGCUCCUAAUUACUUGUUUAGAAAUGUUGCAUAACAUGAUUUCUAGUGCAACGAUUAAUUGCGAUUAAUCGCAUUCAAAAUAAAAGUUCUUGUGUACAUAAUAUACAUGUAUUUGUAUUAUGUAUAUAUAAACACAGAUGCAUGUAUAUGUUUAAGAAAAAUGUUAUGUUUAUAUAUUAAAUAUGAAUAUAAAUAUAUACAUGUAAAUGUUUUCAAAAUAUAUACUGUAUGUGUGUGUACUUAUAUAUACACAUAAUAAAUCUACACAGUGCACACACUAUUUUGGAUGCGAUUAAUUGCAAUUAAUCAUUGCCCUGCACGAUUUAUUAUUAUUAUUUUUUUUAUCGAUCGAUUGCACUAAAGUAAUGCAAGAUUAUUACUUCAAUUCUGUGGGAACCCUGCAUCUAAUAAAAUUGAAAAAAAAUUCUAAAUUGCCGUUUUUAAACGUUUCAUUUUGUUGCAUUUUCAUUUAUUUAAAAUUCUCUCAAAGCAUUUGAAUUCAAAACUAGCGCUUGCAUUAAUCGGCCGACGGCCGUUUUGACAUUAUCGCUAUCAAAACGCACACUCACAGAAGCACUUUGACGUCCCUCCCCGAACCUCGCUCGGAUGCAUCCAUACGUCUUCAUUACUAAACCAUGUCAACGUCAGUCAGUACUCACACCUUACAGUAUUUACUAAGGCUAAGAGUCCCCACUUCUUCUCAUGCAGUUACUAAAAAAAAGCUACAGAGUUCAUCUUUUUUGUUUUGUUUUGUUUUUUUAGAAUUUGCUUGUUAAGUUUUGCUUUUUAACUUUUUUGGUUGCUUUGCCAGUAUAUUAAAGUGUAAUCAUGUACGUUGUGAUAUAGAAAUAGCUGUAGAGACGCAUUGUUUCCUUGUGGUAAGUGACUGAGAUGCUGCCACGGAUUUGAGACACUGAUGAAUGGUGCUAUUUUGGACUUUAAUCUGCUCCUUGGUAAGGAAGCUCAGAUGGGUUUUAUUUUAUAUUUUCAUGUUCGGAAGAGGUGUUGUUGGUUCUUUGUUGUCUGGUUGUCGUAACUCGGAUCGGAUCGACUUUAUUCCCCCUUGUUGUUUCUGUGUGGCUUUCUCAUUGGACAGAAAAACAGAUUUGCCGAAGAGCUGGUGUUUUGUUUCCUUUUCGUUUCGUUCUUUUUUGACUCGGAGAUGACUAUUUGCAAAAUUCUGAAACAGUCGGAGCAAUCACAAAACUGCAAUUAUUAACACUGUUUACCCUUUAACGUAAAGGUUUAAUUCAAGGAGUAGUUACAGUUCCUGGCACUAUAGUCCCUUCUGGCAAUAUAGCGAAAUCUCAUACUUACAAGACGGGGUAUCUCACGCGGCCGGUUUCACGUUUUUCGUUUAGCGGCGAACUUCGAACACAUCGAGGACGCGCUCAAAUCGCUGUUGUAGUCGGUCCCGGGGUGCCGGUGGUCUAUAUAGUGUACAUACACAGGGCAACUGAGGUCGGGUUUCUCAUCCGCCGUAUCCCACACCAGUACAGAAACGCUCAUCGGGGUCCUUUUUCAAAGGCAAGACAUGUAGCAGCAAAACCAACAAUCUCAUUCACAUGUUCAGCAGCAGAUUUGUACAUGAGUUUUAGGAUGAGAACCAAAAGCUUUAUAUUUAUUCAUUUAAGUAGCACGUCGCUCGGUAUUUGCAGUUUUGUCUUUGCUUCCAGUUCACAUACGUUUAAGACUCCUAAUUCGAAGUCCGACUGGAAAGCCCACGUUAGUUUCUUAGUCUUCCAUUUAUUUUUUCCACUACAAAAGUGGGGACCUUCCCAGCUUGCUCUAGUCUUUCCUUAGUGCUUUCGGCAUAUUGAUCGCAUGCUCUCCGCUCUUCCUUUCGUUUCUGAUCUGAAUGAUUCUCCUCGCAGUUUCUUCUCAUAGAUUAGAUAUGCCAACUGUGUUGUAAAUAGCCAGUGAGUAGCUUGUAGUAUGCUGAAUUAUUCUGUAAUAUUAAUUGUGUAUGAUUGGUGUACAAAACAUGAAGUCUAGCCUUGUCAUCUUUAUAAGGAUGCACCGGUAUUUUCAUGUUAUUUUGCAACUUAAGCUGUAGUUAAAUAAAUAUGCAAGCUCUCGCUA